AGAGUUUGUAUCCUGGCUCAGGAUUAACGCUGGCGGCAUGCCUAAUACAUGCAAGUCAAACGGGAUUAUAGCUUGCUAUAAUCUAGUGGCGAACGGGUGAGUAACACGUGGGCAACCUGUCCUAAAGACGAGGAUAACAGUUGGAAACGACUGCUAAUACUGGAUAGUAUAUAUUUUCGCAUGAAGAUAUAUUUAAAGAUGCGUUUGCAUCACUUUAGGAGGGGCCCGCGGCGCAUUAGCUAGUUGGUGAGGUAACGGCUCACCAAGGCGACGAUGCGUAGCUGCGCUGAGAGGCGAAACAGCCACAUUGGGACUGAGACACGGCCCAAACUCCUACGGGAGGCAGCAGUAGGGAAUUUUCGGCAAUGGAGGAAACUCUGACCGAGCAAUGCCGCGUGAACGACGAAGGUCUUCGGAUUGUAAAGUUCUGUUGUUAAGGAAGAACUAUAUGAUUAGGAAAUGAGUCAUAUUCGACGGUACUUAACUAGAAAGCCCCGGCUAACUAUGUGCCAGCAGCCGCGGUAAUACAUAGGGGGCAAGCGUUAUCCGGAAUUAUUGGGCGUAAAGCGUGCGUAGGCGGUUUAUUAAGUCUGAUGUUAAAUCCCACAGCUUAACUGUGGUAUGUCAUUGGAAACUGGUAAACUUGAGUACAGUAGGGGUAAGUGGAAUUCCAAGUGGAGCGGUGGAAUGCGUAGAUAUUUGGAGGAACACCAGUGGCGAAGGCGGCUUACUGGGCUGGAACUGACGCUGAGGCACGAAAGCGUGGGGAGCAAACAGGAUUAGAUACCCCUGUAGUCCAUACUGUAAACGAUGCAGACUAAGUCUUGUGGCAUUCGACCGCCUCAGGACCUAAGCGAACGCGAUAAGUCUGCCGCCUGAGGACUACGGUCGCAAGACUAAAACUCAAAGGAAUUGACGGGGGCCCGCACAAGCGGUGGAGCAUGUGGCUUAACUCGAUGCAACGCGAAGAACCUUACCUAGACUUGACAUUGACUUGAAAUACUGAUGAAAGUUAGUAUGUCUUCGGACAAGUUAACAGGUGCUGCAUGGCUGUCGUCAGCUCGUGUCGUGAGAUGUUCGGUUAAGUCCGGCAACGAGCGCAACCCUCGCUUCUAGUUACCAUCAUUUAGUUGGGGACUCUAGAGGGACUACCCCUUUUGGGGAGGAAGGUGGGGAUGACGUCAAGUCAGUAUGGCCCUUACGUCUAGGGCUGCACACGUGCUACAAUGCAUUAUACAAAGGGAUGCAAUAUCGUGAGAUGGAGCCAGUCCUUAAAAUAGUGCCCAGUUCAGAUUGUAGUCUGCAAUUCGACUACAUGAAGUCGGAAUCGCUAGUAAUGGCGCAUCAGCUAUGGCGCCGUGAAUACGUUCCCGGGCCUUGCACACACCGCCCGUCA
rnacentral:rRNA from 1 species